GACUGGGUGAAGUUUAGAAGAUCUAUCACAACUUCAACACAUGGAUGGCAAGGUGCUAAACCAAAGAGUGUUGGUUUUGUGCAAAGUGUUCCAGAUAGAGACAAUCUCAUUGUUUCAUUUUGUUCUGGAGAGGUUCAUGUUCUGGCAAAUGAAGUUAUAAAAGUCAUUCCAUUAGACAGGGGACAACAUGUUCAACUGAAAGAAGAUGUAGAAGAGCCUAGGUUGAUACCUCCGGUUGGUUGCAGAGGACAAAACAGGAUAAAGGAGCAGCAUCCUUGAGCAUUAUGCAAUCAAGGAAGAGUCUACUCUGGGCUCAUAUAAUUGCUUUGGUACUAGAUGCGGAAGAGAUUUUAAAUGCAAGACGAAGUAUGAAACAUGCUGAAGUAGUUAUAGCUAGCCAACAGGUGUUUUCAGACCAGCUGCAAUAGAUUUGGCUGCAACAAAUGUUUUUAACCAGCAGAUACAGAUUUUUUU